rnacentral:rRNA from 1 species
AGCCUGAACGCUGGCGGCGUGGCUAAGACAUGCAAGUCGUACGGGUGUAGCAAUACACCAGUGGCGGACGGGUGAGUAAUGUAUCGCUAACGUACCCCGGAUUCUGGGAUAGCUGCCCGAAAGGGCAGGUAAUACCGGAUGAUAUAUCCUUUUCGCAUGAUGAGGAUCUCAAAGGGAAACCGUUCUGGGAGCGGGCGAUAUCGUAUCAGCUAGUUGGUGAGGUAACGGCUCACCAAGGCGACGACGCGUAGCCGGACUGAGAGGUUGGCCGGCCACAUUGGGACUGAGACACUGCCCAGACUCCUACGGGGGGCUGCAGUAACGAAUCUUCCGCAAUGCACGCAAGUGUGACGGAGCGACGCCGCGUGUGGGACGAAGUCCUUCGGGAUGUAAACCACUGUCAGGGGUUAGAAAGUUCUGAUCAACCCCAGAGGAAGGCACGGCUAACUCUGCGCCAGCAGCCGCGGUAA